rnacentral:rRNA from 1 species
ACCUACGGGGGGCAGCAGUGGGGAAUCUUCCGCAAUGGGCGAAAGCCUGACGGAGCAACGCCGCGUGAGUGAAGAAGGCCUUCGGGUUGUAAAACUCUGUCUUCAGGGAAGAACAAAAUGACGGUACCUGAGGAGGAAGCCACGGCUAACUACGUGCCAGCAGCCGCGGUAAUACGUAGGUGGCAAGCGUUGUCCGGAAUUACUGGGCGUAAAGGGCGCGUAGGCGGGUAAUUAAGUCAGAUGUGUAAACUCUGGGCUCAACUUGGAGAUUGCAUCUGAUACUGGAUAUCUUGAGUGCAGGAGAGGACAGUGGAAUUCCUAGUGUAGCGGUGAAAUGCGUAGAUAUUAGGAGGAACACCAGUGGCGAAGGCGGCUGUCUGGACUGUAACUGACGCUGAGGCGCGAAAGCGUGGGGAGCAAACAGGAUUAGAUACCCCAGUAGUCC